UUCUUACUGUGAAUACAUUUGGAUGUAUAUAUUUCAUGGUUAUUGAACAGUCUUCCUCCACACCAUUUUGCAUGUGUUCAUGGCAGUCAGGUAGAUACACUUCAGCCACUGUCUUGGCGUGGCCUCCUGUGGUUUAGGAAUGAGGGAGCUGGGACAAUUGAGGAGGCAAAUGGCAGCAUCAAAGUCAGAUGACUGACCCAAGGCCACCUCACAAUUCUAUAACAUUUGGCUUAGACACUGUAAGUUAGGACAAGAAGGAGCUUUGGAAAUGACCUUGCUGGGCAUCUCUUUAUGUUUGAAGACACUGAACUGAGAGGAGGCGGCUCUUGCCGUAGGCCCCUGAGGCCAUCACUGGCAAGUAGGACCUGGAACCCAGGAAUCCUGAUUCUUUGUCCAGAGCUUUUUCUGCUCUUUCACAAAACACCAUCUUGCCUUCUUAGAAGAGUGUGAAGAAUUUGGAGAGAUUUCACUGAUCGUGGUGACACAGAGGUUAGAAGGCCGUUGAGUUCAGCUUAUGGUGAUGGAAAGAGAGAUGUCAAUAAUUCCACAUUUUCUGGCUUGCAUUGUUUGAUGAAAGGUGACCCCAUUCCCUGAGUUAAAGAAUGCUGAAAGAAGACCAGGCUUGAGGAGGAAGGAUCAUGCAUUUGCUUUUGGACCUGUAGAGUUUGAGGACAUGUUCAGCACCAGGAGGAAUUUGCAUCCAAGUCCGUCUCCCUGCUAAGUGGUAUUUUGAGAAUUCCGAAGCUUAGUCUCAGAGAAGAGCUGACCUGAACUUGCCGAGGCUCCCACUGCAUUGUAGCUUUUCUCUGGAGAACAAAAACUGCCAUUGUCCAGCAGCUCAUUAGCAUGACUGUACAGCCUCCGGAGUUAGCAAGGUGAUGCAAAAAUAAUAUGACAAGAUCCAUGUCUUCAAUGAGCUACAAUCCUACUGGGACAUGAGACUGUGCUUAUAAUAUGAUGAAAGAAUAAGAAAAUUUUAAAGCUAUAACAGGCAGAGCACAAGAACAAGCAGAGCUAUAACAAGCAGAGCACAAGAAGGAAGAGUGCAGAUCCAGGACUGGGACACUUAACCAAUAAUAAUACAAAUAGUGAGUACUGUUAGUUGAUUUUCCAGGCUCCUCUUCUCACUUGUAAUGGAAUUACAAAUUAUUUUGUUGGUCAUUGACACUAACCCCAGAUUCAGAAGGAGAUUUGAUUAGAGUAGUGUGAGUAUAAUCUCAUUGCUACUUCCAUAGCAAUUGGUUUGGGGUGAAUACUGUUGGGUGACAGCAGAGGGAGAUUAUUUCAUUUCCUGUGAUCUGUGUUCAAGGAAUUAUGGUGUUUUAAUUGCUGCUAGUAGCACUUUACUUUAGGAUGAAACCUGGUACAUACAUGUAAAGCACUUUAAACAGUUCCUGGUGCAAAGUAAAUGCUUAACAUGUGUUCUUUAUUGCUAUGGUUUGAAUGUAUGUGCCCCUCCAAAAUUCAUUUGUUGGAACUUAAACCCCAAGGUGAUGGUAUUAAGAGAUGGAGCCUUUGGAAGGUGACUGAGCCAUAAGCGCUCUGCCCUCAUUGAUGGGAUUAGUGCCCUCAUAAAAGAGCUUGAGGAGCUAGUUCUCCCUUUUUGUCCUUUUGCCCUUCCUCUCUUUCUACCAGAUGAAAACACAGCAGCAACAGGUGCCAUUUUGGAAGCAAGAAGCAGAGAACAAGCUCUCACUGGGCAUUAAAUCUGCCGGCAUCUUGAUCUUGAACUUCUCAACCUCCAGAACUCUGAGAAAUAAAUUUCUAUUAUUUACAAAUUACCCAGUCUAAGGUGUUUUGUUAUAGCAGCUCAAACAAAUUAAGAUAUCUGUUUAUUGCUUUUGGUAUGUGUUUGUGUUUUAAUUUUCUUGGAAGGUAGAGCAGAGAGACAAAAAUCACCAAAUUUUGGUGACAUGGUUGAAGCUCUGGGUCAAACCAAUCUUUGAGUCCAGCCUCUGAACCUCGCAUUAAAGUCCUUUAUAGUUUAGAUUGGUUAGGAUUAGGUCUCUUGAUGUUUGUUUUCACCUUGAGGGUUCCUAACUGCUACGGGGAGUCAGUGUGAUUUAACUCUAAGUGAAGAAGAACAGUUUAGAGGGAUGAUCCUGCACAUCUGCAUGGUGAUUGAAUUUAUGUCUCCUAUAAUUGUAUAUACAAAAUGAAAGUUUGGACUCUACAGGACAGGAGACUUUCCCCAACUUCUACCCUCCUUUAUCUUUUGCUGAUUAGUAUUGCAACAGGCACCUAACCAAACUCUCUGGCUCUGGGCCUGUGCUGUGUCUUCUAAUCUUCACACAGCUGCCAGCAUUAUCUUUAAAAGACAGAUCUUAUUAUUUUACACACAAAACAGACACACAUCUCCAUGCAGCAUCUGCUUAAAGUGUUUCUGUGGUUCCUGAUUGCUGACUGGAUUUCACUCAACUUUUUAGCAUGGCCCACAUGGAGCUACCUCUGCCCCACCUUUUCAGUUUCAACUCUUAGGACCCUCUCCUACAAACAUUGGGGUUCACUGUACCCUGAACAUGUGAUAGUCUUGCGUGUCUCCAAGCCUUUGCAUCUGCUAUUCCCCAUGCAUGCAAGGUCUUGCUCUUACUUUCUGUACAGGAGAACUCCUCUUCACCUUUGAAAACCCUCAACUCAAAUACCAAUUGGUUAAGACAUAUUUCUUGAUGUCCCCUGACAGAACCACUAGGAUGUGUAUGACUUAUUAUAGGAAUUUGACAUUUCACAACUGUGGGCGCUAGUUAGUUGGUAAACAGCCUUUGGGAGGUUGUUGUGUUUAUCUUGAAGGCAGGAAGUUGAAAAGGGAAAAUGGAAAAGAAGAACAAAUUGGGACCUGAAUGGUGCCUAUGAGGAUGAACUGGAACCCGUGUUGGUCUGGAACCUUGGUUGGAAAUCCAAGCUUUCAACUUUAAUGAUGCGGAUGUUCUGCAAGAGAAGCUGGUGCACUUUUUCAUGCUUGAUAUGCACCUGGCCCAGGAGUCAGAGAAGCUGAAAAACGAUCCAGCAGGAGCUGGAGUCUGUGUGGGCCUUGUUGUUGCACCACCGUCCGCCUCCAGGCAAGACAACUG
rnacentral:lncRNA from 10 species